AGUGUUUACUCUCAAGAGUGCGUGUGAUCUUUUUAAUAUUUUUGAAGUCCUGGGUGUUUGGUUAUAAGGUGGACAUUGAUAUGGAAUUUUGUGCAAACCAGGUUGCUGAAUACCCUUACGCAAGCAUUGCAGAGUGCCAGUGUAGAUCUGUCACAGGCCAACAUCUCAGUUCAGAUUGAUCUUGGAAAACGGGCAAAUAAAGGGCUGGCCUCUGGAACAUCAACAUCUAAGGUACGAGGCUGGUAAUUUAAAGUGGUCAAUAAACAAUAGGUCUUGUUAUGUAAGUAGUUAUAAACUAAUAAACAUUAUGAUUAUGCCUGAUCUAGCCAGUUGUGUGCCUUCCAUUGCUUUCUAGGAUCCCCAGGAUUGCAAUCAAGUGAUGACCCACCUUAGGGAUACAAGUGAAGGAGAGGACUCGGAUCAAGCUCAAAAACGGCUAAAGACAUAAGACCAGCAUGGGA
rnacentral:lncRNA from 1 species